ensembl:misc_RNA 7SK 7SK RNA
GGAUGUGAGGGUGAUCUGGGUGCGACAUCUGUCACCGCAUUGAUUGCCAGGAUUGAUUCGGCUGAUCUGGCUGGCUAGGCGGGUGUCCCCUUCCUCCCUCACCACUCCAUGUGCAUCCCUCCCGAAGCUGUGUGCUCGGUCGAAGAGGAUGGCCUUCCCCAAAUAGAGACGGACCGGUCUUCUUCGGUCGAGGGUAUACGAGUAGCUGCGCUCCCCUGCUAGAACCUCCAAAUAAGCUCUCAGGGAAAUAGUCUGUUCACCAUUGGUGUAGUUGCCCAAGAUUGUUUCCUUAUAUUUUCUACUUUUGUCAUA